rnacentral:lncRNA from 12 species
UGGGAAGCUACGGACUUCGUGAAAAAGCCAGUCCCGACGUCGGUGGCCAGCGUUCCUCCCUGAAGAAACUUUGAAGUCGUCACCUCACCAUCUAGAAAGGUCAUAAGAAACUUGCUGGACAUCCUGGGUUCAGCGCAGCAGGAUUUGGGCCAGUCAGGACCGAGCAAGGAUCCGGCCCGGCUUAUGGAGUCAAUAUUGGAGAGGUUCUCUCUUCUUUAGAAGCCAAGAAAUUUAAGAAACUCUUACAAAGAAGUUCAAAAGAUUUGAUGGGCCCAAGCCAAGCCAUUUGGAGGCUGAGGCAAGGGAGGAUGUGUCCUUGAGGCACAGGCUGAAAUGGUAAGCCGCUACCUUCUCUAGCUCCACCUGAGGUUAUAAGUGUACUGCUGGUCUUUUGCAAGCCUUUCUAUUUUCUAGGAAACUACCCCAAGAAAAUAAUCAGAAAUGCGUACAAGGUAUAGAGAAAAGGAGAGUUGUUUAGAAUAACAACACUAGAAGAAUGAUUAAAUAUAUUUCGUGUCUGUGUAUGUACAGUUGUCAUUUCGGCACUUUCAAAGAAUGUUUAUUAAUAUAGGAAAAUAUUUCAUACUACGAUGUUAGAUGAAAAGGGUAAAAUCAGAAAUGCAAUGAGCCUGAUUUUAUAAAUGUACAAGUACAUAGAGAAAGAAGAGUAAAAAAACACAUAUCUAAAUCAUAACUAUGGCUAUCACCCAACAAUGGGUCUAAGGAAAUUGAAUUCCCUCAAUACUUUGCUAUAUUUUAUCCAUUUUUUACAGUAAUAAUAUAUUAUAAUCUGAAAGAGAGUUAAUUUUUAUCAAGAAAGUCCCAAGGGUGUGAGUUCUAUUCUGACUCAGCAGUAAAUUUGUGUAGAGUAAGAACUUAUUUUUUCAACUUCUGGUUACCUUUAUACAGCCUUUGUUUUGAGAAAUGAUCCAGUGACUGGUAGUAGCUUCUAGCAGACUGAGUCCUUGUGUCUGUAACUAGCCCAACAGGGUGUAACUAGCCCAACAGGUGACAUCAUGCCACAUCAACAGGACUCCGCACGGGAGGCAAGUAAAGAGAUUUAAAAGGAUAAAUUCACUGUUUGCUAGUUCAGCAAAUACGUAUGGAUCUUCCAGGAACAUUUUUAGGCAAUUUAUAUUCAGGAAGUUGAUAUGAUUGGCCUGGAGAGAUAGAUCUAGGGCCACAGUUUGAGACUUCUUCCCUUUUGGAAACUGUGUCCAAUAAACAUUUCUGAAAUUAGCA